GUCAACUCCUCUUCGCUUUUGACAUUCGCUGCCUUAGGCUGAUGAUGAAGCGUGACGGCUUAUCAGAUUUUUGAUGACUUAUCACAGAUGUUGUCGAUGAUUUACUUCAGCUCUCAUGUUCUUCCUUAAGCUAACGAUGAUCUUGAAGGCUUAUCACAACUCCAACGACUUAUCACAUGUCGUCAUCACUUUUUCCAGCCGAAUUCCAUUCUCUGUUUAAGGCUGACGAUAAAGCUGAUAACUUAUCAGAGUGCUGAUGACUUAUCAGGAUUUUCGUCAGCUACACUUCUCUUCUAUUUGCUUCAGAUUUUAACUCUUUUACUUCCAUCAUUGUUGGUUCUCUUGCAUCUUGACUUUCACUGCAAAAUUAAAGAUAAAACAAUCAAAAAUGACAAAAGUUACUUAAGACUUUGCAAUUAUUCUUAGUUAAAAGCCUCAAAUGUAUUAGCAUCUGCUCACAUUUCAAGUCACCUUUGGAAAUUCUUUUUAAAACGAUUUGACUCUAAAAUUGAUCCGCGAACAAAGAUUCUGGUUAAGGAAUUCUGUUGACCGAGGGGGACGUAUUAGGUAUCCCUCAGUCCUGUGGUUCUACCACGGUCGCUUCAUGGAGUAUAUCAGCUAUUUUGACACUUCCAAUGUAUAAACCAGACAAAACACAUAAGACAAUCAAUCAAACAAACAAAACAAAAAAAAUCUAAAAUAUAGUGUCCAGUAUAAUUAUACAAUCCAAAAUAAAAAGUAUGAAAAUAUAAACCUACACUAAUCCUAAACUACGCUCCGAUACAUUACCCGAUGCCUAGAGCCUUGAUCACGAGCCUUCUUUGCAUACAUGAUACUUCGGGGCAUUCCCCGGACAUAUCAAUAUAAAUCCCUCGGGGUAUUCCCCAGCCAAAUGAGUACAAUUGAUCCAUGUGCGGUAAAAAAAAUCAUUCAACAAAUAUUCCAAACAUUUCAAAAUCCACAAGUUCUCAACUUUCGUCCCAACUUACUUCCAGUUGAGUUUAAAUCUUUCUAUUAUUCAAUUUAAACAAUCAAAUGAUCAAUAUUAACGACCUCAUAUGAUGAUCCAAGUAUAUCAAAAUCAACAAAAGCAAACUGCACACACAAUGAGUUUUACCACACAAAGUAUCACACAAAUUAAAAUUAACAUGAGAUGAGAAAUGGACCUUUACGCAAUUGAAAAUCCCUUUUGGAUUGAAAAUAUUCAUUCACCACCAUACUCGAAGCAACUGAAUGAGUCACUUUUGAUUGGAGAAGUAGAUUUUAAUCGAAAACCUCGACCAAGACUCAAAUUUGAAUGACGACUGCAAACUAAGGAUCCCAAUUGUUUUAAUUUUAUUCCAAAACAGAGUAUAGUCCGUCCAACCUAUAAAAUAUGCGUUUAGAGUGGUUUUCGAACUGAAUUAAUGUAGGAUGAGGCUGUUUUCCAAUGGAUACUCAACGGAAAAGGGGAUAGAAUGGUUGUUGGCCGUGAUUUGGUAGAAAAUCAGACAAAAGAGGUGGAGCUGGCAGUCAUCGACAGAAAUCCAUUGGGUUUUUGAGCUAAGAGGUGUUUCCCCGGUGGGUUCCGGCGAGACUACGAUGGUGGGUGAUCGGUUUUUAGUGGAUUUUGAGAGAAACAGAUCAGGUUUAGGCGAUGGCUAGUUUUUCGCUAGAUUUCCAGAGAGAAACUCGUCGAAAAAUUCAGAGAAAACUCUAUCGAUCUCUCUCUCUUGUUUCUCCUCUCUCCCUUUAUCUCUCUCAGGGUGUGCAUAUUCUUGGCGUGUUCUGCUAUGAUUUGCACGUAAAAAGAAAAAUGGAGCAGACUGCCUUUUUUUGGUUUCUCCCUAACCCAUAUUCUCUCUUUGUGUACAAAAAAUGGUGUGUUCUUAUGUGAGUGUUUAUGGUGAGGAUGAAAAAUGGUGUAUGUUUU
rnacentral:lncRNA from 1 species